AUGUAUUGAAAUUGACCGUAUUUGGAGCUAGGGUCCAGAACUUACCUGAAUCCACUCAUUUGCAGAACCCCUCUUACUAAAUGCCCAGGCCAACUUGUUGUCUGUGUUUUGCGGGUAUACGUCUGGCUUGCCAAGUGCUUGAGCGCCAUUCCACCUAAAUAUGUAG